rnacentral:Y_RNA from 1 species
GGCUGGUGUGAAGGUAGUGAGUUAUCUCAGCUGAUUGUUCACAGUCAGUUACAAUUGAAGACCUUGUUCUACACGUUCCUCCCAUCUCACUAGUGCGCCUGACUAGUCUUCC